AUGGGAGCCGUUUUUGCUUUAUUUGCUGGAUUUUACUAUUGGGUGGGUAAAAUCUUUGGUCCGACAUAUCCUGAAACUUUAGGCCAAAUCCAUUUUUGGAUCACUUUUUUCGGGGUUAAUCUGACCUUCUUUCCCAUGCAUUUCUUAGGGCUUUUUGGUAUGCCACGUCGCAUUCCAGAUUAUCCAGAUGCUUACGCCGGAUGGAAUGCUCUGAGCAGUUUCGGUUAUUAUAUAUCUGUAGUUGGGAUUCAUCGUUUUUUCGUAGUUGUCGCAAUCACUUCAAGCAGUGGAAAGAACCAAAAAUGUGCGGAAUGUCCUUGGGCUGUUGAACAGAAUCCAACCACACUAGAAUGGUUGGUACAAAGCCCUCCGGCCUUUCAUACUUUUGGAGAACUUCCUGCGGUAAAAGAGACAAAAAGCUAG
rnacentral:rRNA from 1 species